rnacentral:rRNA from 1 species
AAAUUGAAGAGUUUGAUCAUGGCUCAGAUUGAACGCUGGCGGCAGGCCUAACACAUGCAAGUCGAACGGUAACAGAAAGCAGCUUGCUGCUUUGCUGACGAGUGGCGGACGGGUGAGUAAUGUCUGGGAAACUGCCCGAUGGAGGGGGAUAACUACUGGAAACGGUAGCUAAUACCGCAUAACGUCGCAAGACCAAAGAGGGGGACCUUCGGGCCUCUUGCCAUCGGAUGUGCCCAGAUGGGAUUAGCUAGUAGGUGG